UCAGACGAUGCGUCAUGCAUAUCAAUAAGCGGAGGAAAAGAAACUAACAAGGAUUCCCUCAGUAACGGCGAGUGAAGCGGGAAGAGCUCAAAUUUGAAAUCUUGAAAGGUCACCUUUCACGAAUUGUAGUUUAAAGAAGUGUUUUCUGUUACGAUCGUAAUAUAAGUUCUUUGGAAUAGGACAUCACAGAGGGUGAGAAUCCCGUCUAUGAUUGCGAUUUGUAGCUUUGUGAUACACUUUCAAAGAGUCGGGUUGUUUGGGAAUGCAGCCCAAAACGGGAGGUAAAUUUCUUCUAAGGCUAAAUAUUGGCGAGAGACCGAUAGCGAACAAGUACCGUGAGGGAAAGAUGAAAAGAACUUUGAAAAGAGAGUUAAAUAGUACGUGAAAUUGUCAAAAGGGAAGCGUUUAACACCAGUGUUGUUUUCUGAAAAUCAACCUCUGUUAGCUUUAUGCAUGUUUGUUUAGACCUAAUCAGCUAUCUUGCAUGUUCUAUUGUUUGCAGUGGUGCACUUUUCAGUUUACAGGUCAACAUCAGUUUUUUUUUACCGUAAAAAAGUUAAAGAAAGGUAGCUCAUGGCUCCGGUCGUGAGUGUUAUAGUCUUUUUCCUAUGCGGUAGGAGAGACUGAGGUCUGCAGUGUAGGCUAUUUGGCUAGAUACUCAGGUGCUAUGUGAUACCAUUUCAUAAACAACUUGUUGAUUAUGUUUUGUCUAUUGCAUACUCGCUUGUACUAUCAUACCUACGCUUAGGAUGUUGACUGAUAUGUAGUCGUA
rnacentral:rRNA from 1 species